GAAGCAGAACAUGCCCAGCACUUCAGAAGCUCCCUUUGUGCCCUCUGCCCUCCAGGUCUGUUUUCUUUUUCGGUUGACUGUCAGGUGGCAAUACAUCACAUUGGCAGAUCCAACACCUCCGCUUUGGAGCAGGGCCUGUAAAGACAUCACAGAUUGCCGCUGAAGAUGAUGUGCCUUGGUAAAAUAGUGUGAUUACUGGAAGAAAUGAUGGUCUCAGAUGGGUAAGUCACACAAGGGAGAUUUGCAAAGCCGUGAUGCCUGAUCCAUCCAACUUGUUCCCUGGCUGUUUCCUGCAUAGGACACAAGCUUUUGGGAGGGCACUCCCCAGUCUGGGAGGACUUCCCUAUAUAGGGGCCUGGACAGCAUACUUGAAAGACAAUUAAAGAGAGUUUCUUUAUAAGUUACCUUUAACAGGGAAAAGGAAAUGCCUGGUUUAUGAGCCAAAACAAAUGGAGGCUAGGAGAAAUCGAACACUUAAAGUAGAAAAGGAACACAAAGGAGUUCGAGCAAGAAGAGAGAUGGGUCUGGGGGUCUGUAGUCUUCAGCUGGACUUAUUGCUGGAAUCCUUUGUAUCGUAGACCCAGGCCUUGCUUUCCCUCAAGAGUGUGAUCCAGAUGGAGAGGCAAUGAACGUUUUCAAACAGGGGAGCCAUGAUGGGAAUGGUUGUUCAACAUCUAUUUCAGUGAGCCCCCGUUCAGUAUGCCUUUUUG